UCCGAGUUGACCCCGGCAGUCUCCUACGAGUCCCCGCCAUUACGCGCUGGCAACAUAGGACAAGGGUUGCGCUCGUUGCGGGACUUAACCCAACAUCUCACGACACGAGCUGACGACAGCCAUGCAGCACCUGUCUCCGCGCCCCUUGCGGGGACCGCCCAUCUCUGAGCGUAGCGCGGGAUGUCAAACCCUGGUAAGGUUCUGCGCGUUGCGUCGAAUUGAACCACAUGCUCCGCUGCUUGUGCGGGCCCCCGUCAAUUCCUUUGAGUUUCAGCCUUGCGGCCGUACUCCCCAGGCGGGGCACUUAAUGCGUUAGCGCCGGCACUCGGAGGGUCGCUCCCCCAAGCACCUAGUGCCCAUCGUUUACGGCGUGGACUAC
rnacentral:misc_RNA from 1 species